ACGGGUGAGUAAUACAUCGGAACGUAUCCUGGAGUGGGGGAUAGCCCGGCGAAAGCCGGAUUAAUACCGCAUACGCUCUGAGGAGGAAAGCGGGGGACCUUCGGGCCUCGCGCUCAAGGGGCGGCCGAUGGCGGAUUAGGUAGUUGGUGGGGUAAAGGCCUACCAAGCCGACGAUCCGUAGCUGGUCUGAGAGGACGACCAGCCACACUGGGACUGAGACACGGCCCAGACUCCUACGGGAGGCAGCAGUGGGGAAUUUUGGACAAUGGGGGCAACCCUGAUCCAGCAAUGCCGCGUGUGUGAAGAAGGCCUUCGGGUUGUAAAGCACUUUUGUCAGGAAAGAAAUCAUCGGGGCCAAUACCCCUGGUGGAUGACGGUACCGGAAGAAUAAGCACCGGCUAACUACGUGCCAGCAGCCGCGGUAAUACGUAGGGUGCGAGCGUUAAUCGGAAUUACUGGGCGUAAAGCGUGCGCAGGCGGUGCUGUAAGACCGAUGUGAAAUCCCCGGGCUUAACCUGGGAACUGCAUUGGUGACUGCAGCGCUGGAGUAUGGCAGAGGGGGGUGGAAUUCCACGU
rnacentral:rRNA from 1 species